GUUUCUCAGCCGUAUGGAACUGCAAAUCCGGAUCUCUUGGUGUUUGGAUUUUGGAUAAACUCUGCGCUUGGACUGAUGAACCUAAUUAUAGAGACAUGAGGAGAUGCUGAUCUAAAGAUGGAGGAGAUGCUGAUCUAAAGAUGGAGGAGAUGCUGAUCUAAAGAUGGAGGAGAUGCUGAUCUAAAGAUGGAGGAGAUGCUGAUCUAAAGAUGGAGAGAUAAAGUCUUGUUAAAGGUUCUGCAUAGAACCCAACGUCUUCAGGACAGAGGAGUUUACACGUCUUUGUGUUUUCUCAGUAACAUGACAGACUGGGUUUUUUUUGUUUUACUAAUUUUAAAAGAGAGAAUAACAAAAAAAGAGAGGCUGGUGAGGGAAUGAGUGUUUAUAGCUGCUGUAACAUAAGUGACAACAGGAAUGAGCUUGUAUAACAACAUAAAAUGUGAGAUUGUGAGGAUGUCAUAAGAAAAUAAAAUAAAAAUAAAGAGAAAGAAAUAAAAAGAGGGAGAGGGAGAGAGGAAUACACCCCUGAGGAGCUCCAGUACUGGAUUAUGUUGUAUAUUGAGCUACAUUUAUUUAAAAAAAAAAAAAGGAAGAUUUUAUAUGUAGAUAUGAAAUGACUAUAUAUUUAUUUGUCUAGCAUGAAAAUUGUGAGUAAUGGUUAAAGUGGUGUAUGUGACCCUCAGAGUUGAGGUGUGUGUGUGUGUGUGUGUGUGUGUGUGUGUGUGUGUGUGUGUGUGUGUGUGAGAGAGAGAGAAGUGGACCGGUGCUGGUGGAGUUUCAUGUGUGCAGCUCGAGGGUACUGAAUACAGAAUGAGCUCCGGCCCGUCUUCAGCCCUGCUGCUCGUCUUCAGCGGUUUCAUACAAUUUAAAUGACAAACCGCCUUACGAGGCCUCAUUUUCCUCCACGGCCCUAAACAACAGAAAAAAAACCCAAACGAAGGCGAGAACGAUGGAACAAAACAGCGAGUGUGUACACUUGCCUGAGAAGGAAGCCUGCAGCAUCCUCGGAGAUUGGAGCGGAGCCGGUAAAAAGGCCCCGUGUCGGUUCUGGAUGGUCUGGGCUCCGAGUGUAACCCUGUUUAAUCCUAGCAGGCUUUCACAUUAAUUCUUAAAGAGCUCCACGCUGCUGGAAGCGGCUGUGCGUCAGAGCUCUGCGUGACGGAUCAGCUCGCUUCUCUUCUCUUCUCUUCUCUUCUCAGUGAGUCUAAAGGGAGAGUUAUGGCCUGGACUGGAAUAUCACAUCGCACAACACCAGCGCUGUGGAUAUAAACACUAAACACAAGUGGCUUUACCUCACACACAUCAGACCUGCGUCCAGCUACGCUACGUCUUCAUAAUAAUCACACCUGAGACACGACGCCAAGCAGGAGAGUCUGCUUCUGUCACACGCAUGGGGAGUUUAUUAGCAUUUUAUCAUUUAAAAUACAAGUUUAUUAAC